CAUACCAACUUUUUUAUGAUGCAUAAAAUUAAAUGGUUAAUUUCAUACAUAUCUCUUUAAAUAUAAUGAAUAAUAAAUAUAUCUUUAUAAAAUUUAAUUUUUAUAUAUUAUUUUUAUAAAAAUUCUGAUAUUUUUAAAUAUGUUCCCACCAUUACAAUCCGUUAAAAAAAUUUAAUUAAUCAUAGAUUAAAUACUUAAUUCUGGUUAUUUUUGGACAUAUUUAUCCCUCUAUAUUAUACUGUGAUGAUUUUUGGAGGGAUAUAUUUGUGAUGGCAAAAUUGAAAAUAUAAACAGUUCUUUAACGGUAACAAACCAAAUAGACAUAUUUAAAAAUAUCAGAAUUUUUGUAGAAACAGAAUAUAAAAGUUAAACUUUAUAGGAAUAUAUUUGUCAUUUACUAUAUUUGUAGUAAUCUGUAUAAAAUUAACUCUAAAUUAAAAGGGUAAAUUA
rnacentral:lncRNA from 1 species